AUUGAACGCUGGCGGCAUGCCUAACACAUGCAAGUCGAGCGGUAACAGAAAGAAAGCUUGCUUUCUUUGCUGACGAGCGGCGGACGGGUGAGUAAUGCCUGGGAAUAUACCCUGAUGUGGGGGAUCACUAUUGGAAACGAUAGCUAAUACCGCAUCAUCUCUUCGGAGCAAAGAGGUGGACCUUCGGGCCUCUCGCGUCAGGAUUCGCCCAGGUGGGAUUAGCUAGUUGGUGGGGUAAUGGCUCACCAAGGCGACGAUCCCUAGCUGGUCUGAGAGGAUGGUCAGCCACACUGGAACGGAGACACGGUCCAGACUCCUACGGGAGGCAGCAGUGGGGAAUAUUGCACAAUGGGGGAAACCCUGAUGCAGCGAUGCCGCGUGUAUGAAGAAGGCCUUCGGGUUGUAAAGUACGUUCAGUUGUGAGGAAGGCGUUGGAGUUAAUAGCUUCAGCGAUUGACGUUAGCAACAGAAGAAGCACCGGCUAACUCCGUG
rnacentral:rRNA from 1 species